CAAUAGCGUAUGUUUAAGUUGUUGCAGUUAAAAAGCUCGUAGUUGGAUUUCGGGUGGGACGCAGCGGUCUCGCAUUGCGUUUGUACUGCUGCAGCCCUCCUUCUUGCCGGGGGCGGCCUCUCGGACUUCACUGUCUGGGGGUCAGAAUCGGCGAUGUUACUUUGAGUAAAUUAGAGUGUUCAAAGCAAGCUUACGCUCUGAAUAUAAUAGCAUGGGAUAACACGACAGGACUCUGGCCUAUCGUGUUGGUCUAUAGGACCAGAGUAAUGAUUAAGAGGGACAGUCGGGGGCAUUCGUAUUCCGUUGUCAGAGGUGAAAUUCUUGGAUUUACGGAAGACGAACAUCUGCGAAAGCAUUUGCCAAGGAUGUUUUCAUUGA
rnacentral:rRNA from 1 species